ensembl:lncRNA
GGGAGGCCUGGGUUCCCUUCAGGAGGGCACUGAGAAUCCCCCUGUUGCAUCCCCAAUCCCAGGCCCCCACAGACCACAAGGAGAAGUGGCCAGGGUCAUCCCACUGUCAAUUGGCCCCUGAGCAGUCCCUCCAGUGCUUGGCUUGACACCCAAGACAUACUGGCCCGAUGACCACAACUGUCUGCACACAGGACCCUCCUAGGACAGCCAAGGCUAUAAAAUGGUGCAGCAGGCCCCUGGGGCAGGCACGCGUCCCCCAGAUGCACGUUCCUGCCCCCACUGCUCCGAAGGCCAAAAUCACCAUUCAGGACACAGUGGCAGUGUGGGAGCAGACCAGGGGUCCCGCUACCCGUGCAGUGAUGAUCGUCCUCCAGAAAGCUUUGGCCUCUGCAUCGCCGAGAGGGAAGGCCUGGAGGAGGAGGAGAGCUGGGAAGGCAGCCCAGAGCCCCUCGGCCUGGGCUUCCCUGUGGGGACCACAGUCUCCAGGUUCUGCCAGCCCCACGGAGUCUCCAGAGUACUCGAGGUGGGGAGGCCUGUGCCAGUGCGCCAGUCUCCCUAACCUGAGCGGGCCAGAGCACAGGGAGGACGACUUCUCCGACGCUGGCAGCCAGGAGGGCCUGUGGAUGUGGGCUCCUCCACGGGCCUCGGAGCCCCCGGAACCAGGGCCCAUGCAGGCUGUCCCCGCCUGGGGGCCACGGCUGAAGACUUCCCCCUACUGGCAUGGCAGCCCCACGCACUCUGGGGACAGUCACGGACUGGAGCCGGCCAGAGCCAGCCCUGGGCUGGGAGACCAGACCCGCGUGCCCUCCCUGGCCAGAGGCCUCCUUACCUCUUAUUCCAUGGGGCACCUGGAUGAUGGGUGCCUCCUAGAAGAGAGGUCGAGUCCACCAUCUGUCCUGCCCAGGCUGGGCAGCAGCCUUCCGUGUGUCUUCACGGCAUCCUAUGCACUUGGUUGAGCCCCCACCGCCCAGGCUCUUCCUGGGGCCAGGACACCCUGACACUGGAAGACAACAGCCAUGCCAGGAGCCACUGUACUCUCCUCCCCGCCCCCCUCCCCCACCGCCACCCUCAGGUGGUGCUGAGCCUGUAUUAAAUUGUUCCAUGGAAAGGAGUUUGCUCCAGUUUGUGACCCCGGUGCCCAGCGGCAGCAAGCUUCCCCGUGUUCCUGGGGAGAUGGGUGGUUCCACAGCCCCCAUCCUCAGGCAGAGACCCGCUCAGGACCCUGCAGGCACAGAAGAAACUCCUGGCUCCUGGCUUUGGAUCGGCACAGCUCUGGUGGUUGUGGCCAUCUGGGGAGUGAACGAGCAGAUGGAAGACCUCUCUCUCUGUCGCUCCCCCUCUUCGUGGAGGAACAACACUAAGCCCUGCCUAGGCUUCAUAUCCGAGUCACGGCACCAUUAUGUCGCUCCCCCUCUUCGUGGAGGAACGACACAGGACCCUGCGUUGUUCUUUUGUCUGCUCGGCCCUCCCCGGGUUUGCUGCUGGUUCUUCCCGGGUUGGCUACUAUCCCUUCCACCUCCGUGGAAGGGCAGUUCCCCCUGGCCACAUUCCCCACUUCCGCAGGGGAGCGGCACACCGCCGGCCGGCUCUUCUCGGGGGCUGCACGGGUUCCCUUAGAUGUUCCCCUUAGAUGUUCCUGGUGCAUGCCGUCUCUCUCCUCCUUUAUAGUCCUCCUCCUCCAAUCCCAACUCGGCCGCCCACACGCCGAGUACGCUGCUCUCCUCCAAUCAAUAGCAAGUCCUACAGUUUAUUGGUUGAACUGGAGGCAGCUGUGCGGAAGCUGUUCACCUCUCUCCCAGCGCCAUAUUGUGGGAGAGCAGAUGCACAGAACAAGUCCCAAUUCCAGUAACUCAGUCUAGUCCGGUUUGCUCCCCACACUCUCUGUCUUUGCCUCUCCUCUCUCUGUGUAACUCUGACUUUCAAAUAAAUAUUUUAAAAAUGUAUUAUGUAAAAAAUGA